AUUUAAAUAGCUUAAUAUAGAGCAUUAUAUUGAAGAUAUAAAGGUAAAUUAAAUUUUUUAAAUA
rnacentral:tRNA from 1 species